AGGAAUGUCCUCUACCAUCAAUUUUGAAAGAAAUAUCUGAGGCUAUACCCAUGAAAUCUCUCCAACAUGGCUGCCUAAGAAAACUCUGAAUAAGGACAACACCAAUCAACAUGCUAAUAUUGAAGGGAGAAAGCUCAUGAAACAUCACCGCAAGAUGAAGAACUUCUAAGCAACGAUGCAAUGCUUAAGAUGAAAGUGUCCCAAGAAAGAACUCUUCCAAUCGGUACUUGUAAGAAGUAACAUUGACAAGAAGUUCAGUGAAAGGGAUAUUAUGAUGGGCUUCCAUAAAGUGAAAAUUGACUAGACUCAUUCAGUAAGGGAUGGUGGAAGCAUGCACGCAAAGUGGGUAGGUACCAAUGAAGCAUUUCUUGUGUGUUCAACAGUAAAAUCAAUACAAAUUACAGAACAUGGACUAGGUACAACAGUUAAUAUAUGGACUUUUCAGAAGUAAAGACCUUGAACACUAUGCUACAUGAGGACCCUUAUUAUCUUAGAUGUUGACUAAAAUCAAAAUGGUCAUAAAAUUAUUACUAAGUAGAAGUUUUAAGUACUAUUCAUAACUUUGUUUCCAGUUUCAUGAGUGUGAUUGCAUUUACUCAUAUGAUUUGAUAUUUCUGCAUUUGCAUUUAUAUAAGGCAUUUUCAUUGUUAUCCAUUUCCUUAUAUUGAAUAUAAAUGCAUUAAUAUGCUUUAGUAUCUUAUUCAGUGUUUCAAUUAUGGAUAUAUGGAUAUAUUCCAGAAAAGCAGAGAUGUAUUGUUGUAAAGGGACCCAGAGGACAAAUAAAAUUUACACUGAGAUUCAUGAAUAGCAUAUCAGACUCUAUGUCUCCAUUCACGGUAAGUAUGGGAUGAGUAGAGUUAGUUUAAUAUAACAUAUAUUCAAAUCUGAUAGACAAAAAGAUGCAUUCCCAAAGAUUCACUGCUGGGUUAUCAGUUUUAACCAGACACCACCACAAUUUAGGCUCUGUUGCAUUGCUUGAAAAUACAUUCUUCAGACGUUUCUUCAUUGUUUGAUAUAAGAUUGAUUUUCUAGUGAGAGGACAGAGACCAAUGUUUGAAAAUCAGAAAUGAAAGAGAAACCACACAUCGCCAAUCAAUAGAAGAGGUGAGAUGCCCACGAAAAACUCAGGUGCUAAUAGCUAAUGCUAUAGGCACAACCUUAAUAUAGGACCUUGAUACACAUAAUUGAGUGACCCCAUGGCUCAUCAGCUCACUUCAUUGUAGAGUGUCUUUUCAUGGAUGGCUGGGUAUAGACACUUGUUACAUUUGCAUAAAUUGGAAAAAAGAUCUUACUCAAAACUCAAAGUAUAGUCUCUACUGAAUGAAUUUUGUUUUCCCAACAAGAAGUGAUCAAAAAAAAUCAUAAUGAAGGCUAUAAUAACUCAGUGAUCAUCUGAAGUUUGUUUCUUUAAUUAAUUAGACUAUUAAGAUGACCUUGCAUUUAAUUCUUAAUCUACUUAAGAAUUAUAAUCCUUGUGUAAUUAGCAGUUGAGUUUGUAUUGUGGCUUAUGGAAAGUGAGUUAAGUUUUACAGAGGAUGAGUGUGCUCAUCCCUAUCGAAUUGGGAGUUGUUCCUGUGAAAGAACCUAAAGCCGCCCAAUUCUAAGUAAAAAAUCAGCCAUGUAAACUUCAGAGUCCUCUGUUUCUUUUGAGACAUGACUAUUUUCUAAUGAUUCUUCUUAUUUUAUUUUAAUUUGUUAUUCUUCACCAACAGUGUAACUAAAAGUGACUUGAGAUAUAUGUAGAAAAAUUAAUUUCAUCUUUAGUACAUUUUGGGAGUGGACAACAAUAGUGGAAAUGUCUGAAUUGUCUCUGUCAUCAUUACUGUUAUUUGCUUUUAUAAACACACUGUCAAUGUCUUAUUGGUACGCGAUUAUUUAUAGGAAAUGCAAGCUAAAAUGUUCAAUAAACCUUAGAGUGAGUACCGAUUAUUUAGAUUUCAAUAUAAAAAUAUGAUACUUAGAGACCAUGACCAACAAAAUUCAAAAUGAAUACAAAGGAAGAAGAUGAGAGGCCACAGAAGGUCAAACCAUUUAUAUCACUUUGCUUUGCCUAGAUUACUGACAGUGAAAAUUCAUAACAAAGUAUUUUGUAUAAAAAUUUAAAUUACAAAAUGAAAUAGAGUAACAUAAAUUACAA